rnacentral:rRNA from 1 species
AANGAUGGNNNCCCGNCUUGCUGGGUGGAUUAGUGGCGAACGGGUGAGUAACACGUGAGUAACCUGCCCUUGACUCUGGGAUAAGCCUGGGAAACUGGGUCUAAUACUGGAUAUGACUUCUCACCGCAUGGUGGGGGGUGGAAAGAUUUAUUGGUCUUGGAUGGNNUNNCGGCCNUAUCNNCUUGUUGGUGAGGUAAUGGCUCACCAAGGCGACGACGGGUAGCCGGCCUGAGAGGGUGACCGGCCACACUGGGACUGAGACACGGCCCAGACUCCUACGGGAGGCAGCAGUGGGGAAUAUUGCACAAUGGGCGCAAGCCUGAUGCAGCGACGCCGCGUGAGGGAUGACGGCCUUCGGGUUGUAAACCUCUUUCAGUAGGGAAGAAGCGAAAGUGACGGUACCUGCAGAAGAAGCGCCGGCUAACUACGUGCCAGCAGCCGCGGUAAUACGUAGGGCGCGAGCGUUAUCCGGAAUUAUUGGGCGUAAAGAGCUCGUAGGCGGUUUGUCGCGUCUGCCGUGAAAGUCCGGGGCUUAACCCCGGAUCUGCGGUGGGUACGGGCAGACUAGAGUGCAGUAGGGGAGACUGGAAUUCCUGGUGUAGCGGUGAAAUGCGCAGAUAUCAGGAGGAACACCGAUGGCGAAGGCAGGUCUCUGGGCUGUAACUGACGCUGAGGAGCGAAAGCAUGGGGAGCGAACAGGAUUAGAUACCCUGGUAGUCCAUGCCGUAAACGUUGGGCAC